AGAUCAUGUAAAAAGGACAUCGAAGGGAUGCCUUGAUAUGGAAAGAAAGGACGCAUAACGAUGCGAUAAGUCAUUACUGAGAAUCGAAAAAAUCUACGACGAAUGAAUCUCCUUAUGGGGAAACCCAAAGGCUGUGAUGGUAGAAAUACCACCAAGCAAACAACUCAGGGAACUGAAACAUCUAAGUACCUGAAGGAAAAGAAAUCAAUAGAGAGUCCGUUAGUAGUGGCGAGCGAACAUGGAUCAGGCAGUAGAAAGAACACAAUUUUAAAAAAGUUUGGAAUAUCUUGCAAUAUAAGGUGAUAGCCCUGUAUAAAGAAGAUGUUCUUUCGAAAUGAGUAGAGAGUUUUUUAGAAUUCUUGAAGAUAGGGGGCCCACCCUCUAAGCCUAAGUAUAUUUCCAUAAUCGAUAGUGAACAAGUACCGUGAGGGAAAGGUGAAAAGAACCCUAAGUAGGGAGUGAAAAGAACACUGAAAUUCGAUGUUUACAAGCACAUGAAGUACACAGAACACGAAUACGUGUUGUGCAGUAUGCCAUGGUACCUUUUGCAUAAUGGGUCAGCGAGUUUAAUAAAAAAGCCUGCUUAAGCCGAUAGGUGGAGGCAAAGUAAAAGCGAACAUGAAGAGUGUGAUUGUUUUUUUAUUAAGACCCGAAACUGAGUGAUCUAGCUAUGAGCAGGUUGAAGAAAAGGUAAAACUUUUUGGAGGACCGAACCCGUGUGUGUUGCAAAACGCUGGGAUGACUUGUAGCUAGGGGUGAAAGGCUAAUCAAACUCAGAAAUAGCUGGUUUUCCGCGAAAUCUAUUGAGGUAGAGCGUAUGAAAGAUGCAUUGAUGGGGUAGAGAACUCGAUGAAGAAAGGUGGCCCAAAGCCUAACUGACUUCAAGGAAACUCCGAAUACGUCAAUGUGAACACAUACAGACAGACUUUAGGUGCUAAGGUCUAAAGUCGAGAGGGAAACAGCCCAGAUCGUUCGUUAAGGUCUUGAAGCGAUAACUGAGUGGAAAAGGAAGUAUAUAAGCUUUGACAACCAGGAAGUUGGCUUGGAAGCAGCCAUCUUUUGAAGAAAUCGUAAUAGAUCACUGGUCUAUGCUUGUGUGCACCGAAGAUGUAUCGAGGCUGAAGUUAUCCACCGAAACGACGAAAAGCACACACUCAGUGUGUGCUUUGGUAGCGGAACGUUCCAUACAUCAUAAAAGAUAUUUUGAAAAAAAUAUUGGAGAGAUUGGAAGUGAGAAUGCUGACAUGAGUAACGUAAUAUCAUGUGAAAAACAUGAUCGCCGGAAAUCCAAGGGUUUCAGCGCUCCGUAAAUCGACGCUGAGUAAGGCGGCCCCUAAAAGACAAAGCCAACGCUUUUUUCUUGAUGGGUUGUGGAAAAGACUCUUUUCCCCCGAGAAUACAGUGACGAGGAGCCAUUGGCUCCCCCGGGAAAUAACGUAUUCAAAGAUUUGAAAAAAUCUACACCGUACCCUAAACCGACACUGGUGGAUAGGUUGAAAAAACCAAGGCGUUCAGAGAACCAUCUUGAAGGAACUCGGCAAAAUAACCUUGUAACUUUGGAAGAAAAGGUGAGGUGAGCAAGGGUUGACUCUGUCCCCUUGUUCAUCUUGGCACAGAAAUGGGGGUAACGGCUGUUUAAUAAAAACACAGGACUCUGCAAAGUGGAAACACCAUGUAUAGGGUCUGACACCUGCCCGGUGCUGGAAGCUUAACAGGAGAGGUGAAAGCUUCAAAUUGAAGGCCCAGUAAACGGCGGCCGUAACUCUGACGGUCCUAAGGUAGCGAAAUUCCUUGUCGCAUAAGUAGCGACCCGCAUGAAUGGUGUAACGAUUGCCCCACUGUCUCCAAGAUGGUCUGAGUGAAAUUGAAUUCUCCGUGAAGAUGCGGAGUACAAAUGAUUAGACGGUAAGACCCUGUGCACCUUUACUCUAGCUUUGCAUUGAAAAUAAGAACAACUUGUGUAGGAUAGGUGGGAGAAAGAUGUAAAUCUUUCGGCCUUGAAAUACCACCCUUUUUGUCUGUGUUUUCUCAGGAAUGAAGUUGUGAAACAGUGAGUCUAUCGCUGUUUCAAAAUGGUUUCCAACAGUGCAUGGUGGGGAGUUUGACUGGGGCGGUCGCCUCCUAAACAGUAACGGAGGCGUGUGAAGGUAAGCUCAAACUGGUCGGACAUCAGUUGGAGAGCGCAAUAGUAUAAGCUUGCCUGACUGUAAGAUGGACACAUCAAGCAGAGACGAAAGUCGAUUAUAGUGAUCCGGGAGUCCUUUGUGGAAAGGCUCUCGCUUAACGGAUCAAAGGUACGCCAGGGAUAACAGGCUGAUACCCCCCAAGAGCUCAUAUCGACGGGGGUGUUUGGCACCUCGAUGUCGGCUCAUCACAUCCUGGGGCUGAAGAAGGUCCCAAGGGUUCGGCUGUUCGCCGAUAAAAGUGGUACGUGAGCUGGGUUUAAAACGUCGUGAGACAGUUUGGUUCCUAUCUGUCAUUUGUGUUUGAGAAUUGAGAAAAAGGGGUUGAUUGUACGAGAGGACCUUAACCCCCUAACCACUGGUGUAUCGAUUGUAUGAUUUUAAACAUGCAACGUCGAGAAGCUAAGUUAGCACGAGAUAACUGCUGAAAGCAUAUAAGCGGGAAACUUCUUUCAAAACAAAUUCUCAUCAUCGUAGAAGAAAACUACGUAAAUAGGCAAAACGUAUAUCCUUUAAAUCUGAAAAGACAGCGUUUUUGUACUAAAAUGAAAACUUUUUCAAAGA
rnacentral:rRNA from 1 species